GUUUUUACUGGUUUUUAUUGGUGUGACGCAGGGGACCCCACGGCUGUGCCCGCCCUCGUGUGUCCCUGCGUGUCCCCCAGGGGUGACCCGGCCUGGCUGUGACCCCGCAGUGCCACCCUGGUCCCCGUCCUGCCAUCCCUGAUGACGCUGACGCGGGCGGGCGCGAUGGGCCUGGAGGGCGCGGUGGCACUUGGCUUGUCCCCAAGGGUGGCACUGCCCGGCCUGUCCCCCGUGGUGGCACCGCCCCGGGAAGGACAGUCCCUGUCAGGGAUGGUGGCGCUGCCACUGAUGGGUGUGUCCGUGACGGGGGGACUGCCAGUGACGUGUCUGUCCCCAAGGGUGACACCGUCCCUGGAUGGGCACUCCCGGAUGGGGACAGUGGCACUGUCCCUGCCUGGCCAGUCCCUGUCACAGAUGGUGGCACUGUCCCUGGAUGGACACUCCCUGAUGGGGACAGUGGCACUGUCCCUGCCUGGCCAGUCCCCACGAGGGACAGUGACACCGUCCCUGGAUGGGCACUCCCGGAUGGGGACAGUGGCACUGUCCCUGCCUGGCCAGUCCCUGUCAGAGGUGGUGUCACUGUCCCUUGCUGGCCAGUCCCUGUCACAGAUGGUGGCUCUGUCCCUGCCAGACCAGUCCCCACGAGGAAUGGUGGCACUGUUCCCACCAGACCAGUCCCCACGGGGGACAGUGACACCGUCCCUGUCAGAGGUGGUGGCACUGUCCCUGGAUGGGCACACCCUGAUGGGGACAGUGGCACUGUUCCUGCCAGACCAGUCCCCACGAGGAAUGGUGGCACUGUCCCCACCAGACCAAUCCCCACGAGGGACGGUGACACCGUCCCUGCCCGGCCAGCCCGGGAAGGUGACAGUGGCACCGUCCCUGCCGGGGAUGGUGGCACUGCCACAGGCCAGCGUGUCCCCGAGGGUGGCAGGGCCGGGCAGCCUGGAUUCCACGAUGGUGGCGGUGACCCUGGGGAUGGAGUCCCCGACCAGGACGGUGGCACUGACAAAGACGGGCGUGUCCACGAUGGUGGCAGUGCCCCUGGACAGGCUGGCCCUGACGGGGACGGUGACACUGCCCAGGAUCCUCCUGUCCAUCACGGUGCCACUGAGAGUGACCAGCGCAUCCACGAUGGUGGCAGUGCCCCUGGACGGGCAGUCCCUGAUGGGGACGGUGGCACUGCCAGCUGCCGAGCUGUCCCCAGCGGUGUCACCGGCCCAGAACGGGCUGUCCCUGAUGGGGAUGGCGGCACUGGCGGUGACAGGCGUGUCCACGAUGGUGGCAGUGCCCCUGGAUAGGCUGUCCCUGACGGGGACAGUGGCACUGCCAGCAAAUGGCCUGUCCCCUGGAGUGCCACUGUCCCUGGAGGGACGGUCCCUGGCCGGAGGGGUGCCACUGUCAGUGACCAGCCUGUCCCCAACAGUGUCACUGUCAGUGACCAGCCUGUCCCCAACGGUGUCACUCAGAGUGACCAGCCUGUCCCCAAUGGUGCCACUACUACUGACUGGCCUGUCCCCAACAGUGUCACUGUCUGUGACCAGCCUGUCCCCAACGGUGUCACUGUCUGUGACCAGCCUGUCCCCAACGGUGCCACUCCUACUGACUGGCCUGUCCCCAACAAGGACAGUGACACUGGCAGAGACUGGCAUGGCCCUGACAGUGCCACUGCCCCCAGCUGGGCUGUCCCUGACAGGGACAGUGCCACUGCUCCUGUCCCCACUGUCACUGCCCCUGUGUGAUCUGUCCCUGACAGGGACAGUGGCACUGCCACUGCUCCUGUCACCAAAGUCACUGGGCCUGUGCGGCCUGUCCCUGCUGGGCACGGUGGCACUGCCAGGCCUGUCCCCACUGUCACUGGGCCUGUGUGGCCUGUCCCUGCUGGGCAUGGUGGCACUGCCAGGCCUGUCCCCUGUGGUGGCACUGCCCAGUCUGUCCCCACUGUCGCUGGGCCUGUGUGGCCUGUCCCUGCUGGGCAUGGUGGCGAUGGCCCUGUGCGAUCUGUCCCUGCCUGGCCUGUCCCCUGUGCCACUGUCUCUGGGUGACCUGUCCCUGACAGGGAUGGUGGCACUGCCACUGCUCCUGUCCCCAACGGUGCCACUGUCUCUGGGUGACCUGUCCCUGAUGGAGAUGGUGGCACUGCCUGGUCUGUCCCCAGGGGUGGCACUGCUCCUGUCCCCAAAGGUGCCACUGACUCUGGGUGACCUGUCCCUGAUGGAGAUGGUGGCACUGCCUGACCUGUCCCCAGGGGUGGCACUGCUCCUGUCCCCAGUGGUGCCACUGUCUCUGGGUGACCUGUCCCUGACAGGGAUGGUGGCACUGCCACUGCUCCUGUCCCCAGUGGUGGCACUGUCCCUGCCUGGCCUGUCCCCAAUGGUGGCACUGCUCCUGACUGGCCUGUCCCCAACAGCAGUGGCCCUGGCUGCGCUGUCCCUGACAGGGAUGGUGACACUGGCCCUGCCCUGCCUGUCCCCAGGGGUGCCACUGUCUCUCACUAACCUGUCCCCAGAGGUGACACUGGCCCUGCCCUGCCUGUCCCCAGGGGUGGCACUAUCUCUGGGUGACCUGUCCCUGCCAGGGAUGGUGGCACUGUCUCUGACUGUCCUGUCCCCAGGGGUGGCACUGUCUCUCACUAACCUGUCCCUGCCAGGGAUGGUGACACUGGCCCUGCCCGGCCUGUCCCCAGAGGUGGCACUGGCCUUACUGGGGACAGUGGCACCACUGACCGGGCUGUCCCUGGUGGGGAUGGUGGCACUCCUGGUGACAGGCCUGUCCCCAGGGGUGCCACUGUCCCUGGAUGAAAUGUCCUUACUGGGGACAGUGGCACUGCCCCUGCCUGGCCUGUCCCCAGGGGUGGCACUGCCACUGGAUGGGCUGGCCUUGGCAGGGACAGUGGGGACAGUGGCACUCCUGGUGACCGACCUGUCCCCAGGGGUGGCACUGCCACUGAUGGGCUUGUCCCUGACUGGGAUGGUGGCACUGCCACUGAUGGGCUUGUCCCUGACAGGGACGGUGGCACUGCCACCAGCUGGGCUGUCCCUGGUGGGAAUGGUGGCACUCCUGGUGACAGGCCUGUCCCCAGGGCUGGCACUGCCACUGGAUGGGCUGGCCUUACUGGGGACAGUGGCAGUGCCACCAGCCAAGCUGUCCAUGACAGGGACGGUGGCACUCCUGGUGACAGGCCUGUCCCCAAGAGUGUCACCAUCCCUGGAUGAGCUGUCCUUACUGGGGACAGUGGCACUGCCACCAGCCGAGCUGGCCCUGACAGGGACAGUGGCACUGCCUCGGCCCAGCCUGUCCCCAGUGCCACCAACCCUGGAUGUGCUGUCCCUGGUGGGGACGGUGGCACUCCUGGUGACAGGCCUGUCCCCAGCGUCACUGUCCCUGGAUGAGCUGUCCCUGGUGGGGACGGUGGCACUCCUGGUGACAGGCCUGUCCCCAGAGGUGGCACUGUCUCUGGGUGAGCUGUCCUUACUGGGGACAGUGGCACUGCCACCAGCUGGGCUGUCCCUGACAGGGACAGUGGCACUGCCCCUACCCGGCCUGUCCCCAGAGGUGGCACUGUCCCUGGGUGAGCUGUCCCUGACAAGGACAGUGGCACUCCUGGUGACAGGCCUGUCCCCAGUGUCACUGUCCCUGGGUGAGCUGUCCCUGACAGGGACAGUGGCACUCCUGGUGACAGGCCUGUCCCCAGCAGUGGCACUGAUCCUGGAUGGACUGGCCUUGACAGGGACAGUGGCACUGCCACCAGCUGUGGGGACAGUGGCACUCCUGGUGACAGGCCUGUCCCCAGGGUGGCACUGUCCCUGGGUGAGCUGUCCCUGACAGGGACAGUGGCACUCCUGGUGACAGGCCUGUCCCCAGGGCUGGCACUGCCUUGGGAUGAGCUGUCCUUACUGGUGACAGUGGCACUGCCACCAGCUGGGCUGUCCCUGACAGGGAUGGUGGCACUCCUGAUGACUGUCCUGUCCCCAGUGUCACUGUCCCUGGCCGAGCUGUCCCUGACAGGGAGGGUGGCACUGCCUGUCCUGUCCCCAGGGCUGGCACUGGUGCUGGGUGAGCUGUCACUGACAGGGACGGUGGCACUGCCACUGGACAGGCUGGCCUUGGCGGGGACGGUGGCACUCCUGGUGACAGGCCUGUCCCCAGGGGUGGCACUGCCCAGGGAUGAGCUGUCCUUACUGGGGACAGUGGCACUGCCACCGUCCAGCCUGUCCCCAGUGGUGGCACUGCCACUGGAUGGGCUGUCCCUGACAGGGAUGGUGGCACUCCUGGUGACAGGCCUGUCCCCAGCAGUGGCACUGCCACUGGCUGCAUUGUCCUUGGCAGGGACAGUGGCAGUGCCACCAGCUGGGCUGUCCCUGGCGGGGAUGGUGGCACUCCUGGUGACAGGCCUGUCCCCAGAGGUGGCACUGCCACUGGAUGGGCUGUACCUGACAGGGACGGUGGCACUCCUGGUGACAGGCCUGUCCCCAGCGUCACUGUCCCUGGAUGAGCUGUCCCUGGUGGGGACGGUGGCACUCCUGGUGACAGGCCUGUCCCCAGCAGUGGCACUGCCACUGGCUGCAUUGUCCUUGACAGGGACAGUGGCACUGCCACUUGUCCUUGACAGGGACAGUGGCACUCCUGGUGACAGGCCUGUCCCCAGAGGUGGCACUGCCACUGGACAGGCUGGCCUUGGCAGGGAUGGUGGCACUCCUGGUGACCGGCUUGUCCCUGACAGGGACGGUGGCACUGCCACCAGCCAGACUGUCCCUUAUGGGAAUGGUGGCACUCCUGGUGACAGGCCUGUCCCCAGGGCUGGCACUGCCACUGGAUGGGCUGG
rnacentral:lncRNA from 1 species